GGGCGGGCAGCAGGCCCGGUGCCCGGGGCGGCAGCGGUGACAAACCCGGCAGCUGCAGCCCGGCCGCGGUGACACCAACGCUGCCACCGCCAUGAGGGGCUUCCAGGGGGCCGCCCGGCUGCUGGUCACCGCGCUGCGGACCCCACGCGUCCCCCGGGCCGGGGUCACCUCCAAACCGCCCGAGCACCCCCUCUCUGCUGCUGAACAGGUCAUCGCGCUCUCCGUCAUGUCCCUGUGCUUCCUGGGGCCCACGGCCUGGAUCCUGGCGCACGUGCACCACUACAGGAGCCACGGCAGCUAACCACAGCCUGCCGGGCGAGGGGCGCCGGCCGCACAGCCAGCCGGCGCUGGAGCAACCUCCGAGCUGUCCAUUAAAUGCACAUUAGCAUCCGGG
rnacentral:lncRNA from 1 species